ACUCAUACCAAGCCCUGAUGUUCCCCCAAACUUGAAGCUACAUGAAUGCUCACUGUAAAUAGAUACAGGAGAAUUAAGAUAUUGGAAAAUGAAGCAACCUUUCCAAAGUCAGCAACAGGUCAGCAGCUGGAUUGGGAGCAACAUCCUCUGGCUUCUGCCUCCUCCAGCAGAACUGUUCUGAACAGGGCAGAGGUGAUGUUGCAGUGCAGACCAGCAGGACGUGAAAAUACACAGAAGGUGCCUGCAGGACAUUGAGCAACAAGAGCAACAGCUGCCAUAGGUGUAAGGGUAAAGAAACACAUUCAAGAGAAGGUUUUUAUUCAGUGACUUAAGGAAGUGUAGCUUUCACUUAGAGCAGGAAGCAAUCAGGUUUCCUGGUUUCUGCCAUUCCGUGGAAGUCCAUGUUUGAAAUUAUGCACCCUUAUCCCACACCGCAGGGAUGAGUGUCCUCAGGAGAGUACCUCCCUUCACCCUGCCCAGAGGCUGGG
ensembl:lncRNA